rnacentral:rRNA from 1 species
UACGUAGGGGGCAAGCGUUGUCCGGAAUCAUUGGGCGUAAAGAGCGUGUAGGCGGCUCGAUAAGUCUGCUGUGAAAGUCCAGGGCUCAACCCUGGAAGGCCGGUGGAAACUGUCGAGCUCGAGUCCGGAAGAGGCGAGUGGAAUUCCUGGUGUAGCGGUGAAGUGCGCAGAUAUCAGGAGGAACACCGAUGGCGAAGGCAGCUCGCUGGGACGUGACUGACGCUGAGACGCGAAAGCGUGGGGAGCAAACAGG